ACAAAUGUCAGAGGGGAGUAGCGCUGAUUAGCUUUUUAAUCAGGAUAAAGUCGUCAUUACAUGAUAGAGAUAUCAUCGGUUUUAUCACAUUUAACUUUAAAUGUUAGCGAGACCUUUGCCUUUACG
rfam:Listeria monocytogenes strain EGD, complete genome, segment 5/12